ensembl:lncRNA
AAAACCUGUCUGGGACAUGAAUGGCACCAGGCUGUUACUUAAAAGUGGCUACAAUGGUUCAAAUAGUUGUCUCCCAGAAGAAACAGUGCAUGGAUGCCAGGUGUGGCUGUGAUGUUGUCAGCCCGUGAUUGGUUAGCUAGCUGCCCACCUGCAGGUGAUUGACCCUGGAUCGAUGAGGCCAAAUGCUUAAGGAACCAGGAUGACACUACCUUGAUGCAGGGAAUCUGCCCGUCUACCAGAUGAUAACUCACAGAGACGACGCCGGGUCCUUCGAGGAGCGGGCCGGCCGAUCGGGGCAGGGACAGCAAGGGUCCGGGUCCACAUCCACAUCCACAUCCACUAUCUGGCGGACGGCUGGGGGAAAGACGCACGCUGCUCUGUCGGCUGAGUCUCACUACAUGGAGACUGAAGGGGAGGACAAUGAUCCAGUGCUGCACUGCAUGCAUCACCAGUUUUUAUAGUGAGAGGAUGAGUGAUUAGCAGCAGCAGCUGCAGGUCCUGCAGCUGCUGCUAAUCAUCUCAUCAGGACUGUGACAUUAGGAAGGUAAACUGAUUUAUUUUUGUUGGUUAUCUUGGUCAUUUUAUGAUGAUCAUGUUUUGGCAUGUGUCCACUCCUAUAAAUAGUGUAAAUAGUGUACAUAAAUAUCAGAACUUUACCACUUGCAUUCUGUGGCAGCUUGAGGAAGAUGGGUCUAGUUCAUAAUAUGUCUCUGCUACCUCUAGACUGGACCCUAUAGGCUGCUUCAAACUGGAAGUCUUUCCUAUAACAUCACAGUCUUGAAAAUAUGCUGAUUUGAAAAUACGAAUGCAAAUGCAGUAAGCUAUAAAGGAAUGCUAUUUUUUAUUUUUUUUUGGAAAUGAGGUUGGUUAAAUUAAAAAAAAAACCUUAAAGUUUAUUACAAACAUGACUGACAAAGAAAAAUAAAGUGAUAACUAUAAAAUAUGGCAGUAAGGGCUGUGAGGUCAGCAGUUCUACCAAUCAUAGUGUUUUUAGUUAAUAAAGCCAAGCAACCCUUACUAUAAAAUGGUCUUCAAGACAUACAGUAGUUGAGCUAAUUUGGUAUAAAAAAAAAAACAACAAAAAAACCCAGAAAACAUUCCCUAUUAAUGUUUCUACUUGAGCUGCAUGAAGGGAAACAUCUGUUCCAACCAUUUAGUCAAGAUUAGACAAGAUGAAGAUGGUGUGGUUUGAGCAGAUAUAAUUCUUGGCUGAUAUGGAGGUUAACUUUGUGAGCAUUAAAACUGCAUGUAAAGCAUGUCUGGGGGUUUGUCAC